rnacentral:rRNA from 1 species
UACGGAGGGUGCGAGCGUUGCUCGGAAUCACUGGGCGUAAAGCGUACGCAGGCUGUUUCGUAAGUCGGGUGUGAAAGCCCGGGGCUCAACCCCGGAACUGCCUUCGAUACUGCGGGUCCUCGAGUCCGGGAGAGGUGAGUGGAAUUCCUAGUGUAGAGGUGAAAUUCGUAGAUAUUAGGAAGAACACCAGUGGCGAAGGCGGCUCACUGGCCCGGUACUGACGCUGAGGUGCGAAAGCGUGGGGAGCAAACAGG